rnacentral:tRNA from 1 species
GCGGCCGUGGCUGACUGAUUACGGUGUUCGCUUUCUAAACGAAUGGUCCUGGGUUCGAUUCCCAUCUGCUCCC